rnacentral:rRNA from 1 species
CCCUAGUAUUAAAAUUUAUUAGGAUUAUUAUGACAAGAAAUUUAAAAUUUUUGGCGGUUAAUUAUUAUGAUAGAGGAGCUUGUUUGGAUAGAAAUUACUCUUUAUAUCUUAUUAAUUUUUGUUUAUUUAUUUCCGUUAUUAGGUGAAAACUUUAUAAGUUUUUGUUUAUAUUUCAGGUCAAGAUGUAGCAAUAAUUAAGAAAAAUUAGCUACAUUAAUAGAGUUAUGGAUUUAUUUAAAGGAAAGUUUAGUGAAAUUGAAUUUAAUUGUAAUUUAAUUUAGGAUAAUUAAAUGAAAAUUUAUAAUUAAUGUA